GGUUAAGCGACUAAGCGUACACGGUGGAUGCCCUGGCAGUCAGAGGCGAUGAAGGACGUGCUAAUCUGCGAUAAGCGUCGGUAAGGUGAUAUGAACCGUUAUAACCGGCGAUUUCCGAAUGGGGAAACCCAGUGUGUUUCGACACACUAUCAUUAACUGAAUCCAUAGGUUAAUGAGGCGAACCGGGGGAACUGAAACAUCUAAGUACCCCGAGGAAAAGAAAUCAACCGAGAUUCCCCCAGUAGCGGCGAGCGAACGGGGAGGAGCCCAGAGCCUGAAUCAGUGUGUGUGUUAGUGGAAGCGUCUGGAAAGGCGCGCGAUACAGGGUGACAGCCCCGUACACAAAAAUGCACAUACUGUGAGCUCGAUGAGUAGGGCGGGACACGUGGUAUCCUGUCUGAAUAUGGGGGGACCAUCCUCCAAGGCUAAAUACUCCUGACUGACCGAUAGUGAACCAGUACCGUGAGGGAAAGGCGAAAAGAACCCCGGCGAGGGGAGUGAAAAAGAACCUGAAACCGUGUACGUACAAGCAGUGGGAGCACGCUUCGGCGUGUGACUGCGUACCUUUUGUAUAAUGGGUCAGCGACUUAUAUUCUGUAGCAAGGUUAACCGAAUAGGGGAGCCGAAGGGAAACCGAGUCUUAACUGGGCGUUAAGUUGCAGGGUAUAGACCCGAAACCCGGUGAUCUAGCCAUGGGCAGGUUGAAGGUUGGGUAACACUAACUGGAGGACCGAACCGACUAAUGUUGAAAAAUUAGCGGAUGACUUGUGGCUGGGGGUGAAAGGCCAAUCAAACCGGGAGAUAGCUGGUUCUCCCCGAAAGCUAUUUAGGUAGCGCCUCGUGAAUUCAUCUCCGGGGGUAGAGCACUGUUUCGGCAAGGGGGUCAUCCCGACUUACCAACCCGAUGCAAACUGCGAAUACCGGAGAAUGUUAUCACGGGAGACACACGGCGGGUGCUAACGUCCGUCGUGAAGAGGGAAACAACCCAGACCGCCAGCUAAGGUCCCAAAGUCAUGGUUAAGUGGGAAACGAUGUGGGAAGGCCCAGACAGCCAGGAUGUUGGCUUAGAAGCAGCCAUCAUUUAAAGAAAGCGUAAUAGCUCACUGGUCGAGUCGGCCUGCGCGGAAGAUGUAACGGGGCUAAACCAUGCAC
rnacentral:rRNA from 1 species